rnacentral:tRNA from 1 species
AGGGGCAUAGUUCAACGGCUAGAAUGGACGGCUCCAGACCGUCGGAUGUCGGUUCGAUUCCGGCUGUCCCCA